GACGAACCGUACGAACGUUGUUCGGAAUCACUGGGCUUAAAGGGCGCGUAGGCGGGUUCGCAAGUCUGUGGUGAAAGCCUCCAGCUUAACUGGAGAAGUGCCGUGGAUACUGCGAAUCUUGAGGAGGGUAGGGGCGUCUGGAACGGUCGGUGGAGCGGUGAAAUGCGUUGAUAUCGACCGGAACUCCGGUGGCGAAGGCGAGGCGCUGGACCCUUCUGACGCUGAGGCGCGAAAGCCAGGGGAGCAAACGGG
rnacentral:rRNA from 1 species